rnacentral:rRNA from 1 species
AGAGUUUGAUCAUGGCUCAGAAUCAACGCUGGCGGCGUGCCUAACACAUGCAAGUCGAACGAGAAAGUGGUAGCAAUACCAUGAGUAAAGUGGCGCACGGGUGAGUAACACGUGACUAACCUACCCUUGAGUGGGGGAUAACUGAGGGAAACCUUAGCUAAUACCGCAUAAUACCCACGGGUCAAAGGAGCAAUUCGCUCGAGGAGGGGGUCGCGGCCGAUUAGUUAGUUGGCGGGGUAAUGGCCCACCAAGACGAUGAUCGGUAUCCGGCCUGAGAGGGCGCACGGACACACUGGAACUGAAACACGGUCCAGACUCCUACGGGAGGCAGCAGUGGGGAAUUUUGCGCAAUGGGGGAAACCCUGACGCAGCAACGCCGCGUGGAGGAUGAAGUCCUUCGGGACGUAAACUCCUUUCGAUCGGGACGAUUAUGACGGUACCGGAAGAAGAAGCCCCGGCUAACUUCGUGCCAGCAGCCGCGGUAAUACGAGGGGGGCGAGCGUUGUUCGGAAUUAUUGGGCGUAAAGGGUGCGUAGGCGGUUUGGUAAGUCUGAUGUGAAAUCUAUGGGCUCAACUCAUAGUCUGCAUCGGAAACUGCCGGGCUUGAGUGUGGGAGAGGUGAGUGGAAUUUCCGGUGUAGCGGUGAAAUGCGUAGAUAUCGGAAGGAACACCUGUGGCGAAAGCGGCUCACUGGACCACAACUGACGCUGAUGCACGAAAGCUAGGGGAGCAAACAGGAUUAGAUACCCCCGUAGUCC